GUGGGGAAUCUUGCGCAAUGGGCGAAAGCCUGACGCAGCCAUGCCGCGUGAAUGAUGAAGGUCUUAGGAUUGUAAAAUUCUUUCACCGGGGACGAUAAUGACGGUACCCGGAGAAGAAGCCCCGGAUAACUUCGUGCCAGCAGCCGCGGUAAUACGAAGGGGGCUAGCGUUGCUCGGAAUUACUGGGCGCAAAGGGCGCGUAGGCGGACAGUUUAGCCAGAGGUGAAAGCCCAGGGCUCAACAUUGGAAUUGCCUUUGACACUUGCUGUCUUGAGUACGGGAGAGGUGAGUGGAACUCCGAGUGUAGAGGUGAAAUGCGUAGAUAUUCGGAAGAACACCAGUGGCGAAGGCGACUCACUGGCCCGUUACUGACGCUGAGGCGCGAAAGCGUGGGGAGCAAACAGGAUUAGAAACCCGUGUAGUCC
rnacentral:rRNA from 1 species